CGCGGGGUGGAGCAGUGGUAGCUCGUCGGGCUCAUAAUCCGAAGGUCGCAGGUUCAAAUCCUGUCCCCGCAACCA
rnacentral:tRNA from 1 species